CCUACGGGUGGCUGCAGUGGGGAAUAUUGGACAAUGGGCGAAAGCCUGAUCCAGCAAUGCCGCGUGAGUGAUGAAGGCCUUAGGGUUGUAAAGCUCUUUUACCCGGGAUGAUAAUGACAGUACCGGGAGAAUAAGCCCCGGCUAACUCCGUGCCAGCAGCCGCGGUAAUACGGAGGGGGCUAGCGUUGUUCGGAAUUACUGGGCGUAAAGCGCACGUAGGCGGCUUUGUAAGUUAGAGGUGAAAGCCUGGAGCUCAACUCCAGAAUUGCCUUUAAGACUGCAUCGCUUGAAUCCAGGAGAGGUGAGUGGAAUUCCGAGUGUAGAGGUGAAAUUCGUAGAUAUUCGGAAGAACACCAGUGGCGAAGGCGGCUCACUGGACCGGUAUUGACGCUGAGGUGCGAAAGCGUGGGGAGCAAACAGGAUUAGAUACCCUUGUAGUC
rnacentral:rRNA from 1 species